rnacentral:rRNA from 1 species
AUUGAACGCUGGCGGCAGGCCUAACACAUGCAAGUCGAGCGGAUGAAGGGAGCUUGUUCCUGGAUUCAGCGGCGGACGGGUGAGUAAUGCCUAGGAAUCUGCCUGGUAGUGGGGGAUAACGUCCGGAAACGGGCGCUAAUACUGCAUACGUCCUGAGGGAGAAAGUGGGGGAUCUUCGGACCUCACGCUAUCAGAUGAGCCUAGGUCGGAUUAGCUAGUUGGUGGGGUAAAGGCCUACCAAGGCGACGAUCCGUAACUGGUCUGAGAGGAUGAUCAGUCACACUGGAACUGAGACACGGUCCAGACUCCUACGGGAGGCAGCAGUGGGGAAUAUUGGACAAUGGGCGAAAGCCUGAUCCAGCCAUGCCGCGUGUGUGAAGAAGGUCUUCGGAUUGUAAAGCACUUUAAGUUGGGAGGAAGGGCAGUAAGUUAAUACCUUGCUGUUUUGACGUUACCAACAGAAUAAGCACCGGCUAACUUCGUG